UACGGAGGGUGCAAGCGUUAAUCGGAAUUACUGGGCGUAAAGCGUGCGUAGGCGGUUCGUUAAGUCUGUUGUGAAAGCCCCGGGCUCAACCUGGGAAUGGCAAUGGAUACUGGCGAGCUAGAGUGUUGUCAGAGGAUGGUGGAAUUCCCGGUGUAGCGGUGAAAUGCGUAGAGAAUCGGGAGGAACAUCAGUGGCGAAGGCGGCCAUACGUGGGACAACACGAUCGCUGAGGCA
rnacentral:rRNA from 1 species